rnacentral:rRNA from 1 species
GCGCAGCAGGCGAGAAUUUUUCUCAAUGGGGGCAACCCUGAAGGAGCGACGCCGCGUGGAGGAUGAAGGCUUUCGGGUUGUAAACUCCUGUCAUUUGAGAACAAGUGCCAACAAGUAACUACUGUUGGCUUGAUAGUAUCAGAAGAGGAAGGGACGGCUAACUCUGUGCCAGCAGCCGCGGUAAUACAGAGGUCCCAAGCGUUGUUCGGAUUCAUUGGGCGUAAAGGGUGCGUAGGUGGCGUGGUAAGUCGGGUGUGAAAUUUCGGAGCUUAACUCCGAAACUGCAUUCGAUACUGCCGUGCUUGAGGACUGGAGAGGAGACUGGAAUUUACGGUGUAGCAGUGAAAUGCGUAGAGAUCGUAAGGAAGACCAGUGGCGAAGGCGGGUCUCUGGACAGUUCCUGACACUGAGGCACGAAGGCUAGGGGAGCAAACGGGAUUAGAUACCCGCGUAGU